GAUGAACGCUGGCGGCGUGCCUAAUACAUGCAAGUCGAGCGAACAGACGAGGAGCUUGCUCCUCUGACGUUAGCGGCGGACGGGUGAGUAACACGUGGAUAACCUACCUAUACGACUGGGAUAACUUCGGGAAACCGGAGCUAAUACCGGAUAAUAUAUUGAACCGCAUGGUUCAAUAGUGAAAGACGGUUUUGCUGUCACUUAUAGAUGGAUCCGCGCCGCAUUAGCUAGUUGGUAGGGUAACGGCUUACCAAGGCAAUGACGCGUAGCCGGCCUGAGAGGGUGUAAGGUUACAGUGGGACUGAGAAACGGGGAAGACUCUGACGGGAGGCAGCAGGAGGGAAGCUUGCACGAUGUGUGUAAGUCUGAUGAAGUGACGCGGAGUGAGGGAGGGAGGACGUCAGUUUGUGAACCUCGUUCGACAGUGAAGCAGGCCUGCCUCGUUUGUGGGUGGGUUGACGGUGGCUAGAUGAGAAGCGCGGGGUGACUACGUG
rnacentral:rRNA from 1 species